rnacentral:rRNA from 1 species
UACGUAGGGUGCGAGCGUUAAUCGGAAUUACUGGGCGUAAAGCGUGCGCAGGCGGUUCGUUGUGUCUGAUGUGAAAGCCCCGGGCUCAACCUGGGAAUGGCAUUGGAAACUGGCGAGCUAGAGUGUGGCAGAGGGGGGUGGAAUUCCGCGUGUAGCAGUGAAAUGCGUAGAGAUGCGGAGGAACACCGAUGGCGAAGGCAGCCCCCUGGGCUGACACUGACGCUCAGGCGCGAAAGCCAGGGGAGCAAACGGG